AUGCCUCACCCUGCUUCGGCUCGCGCACGGUGCGCGCACCCACUGACCUGCGCCCACUGUCUGGCACUCCCUAGUGAGAUGAACCCGGUACCUCAGAUGGAAAUGCAGAAAUCACCCGUCUUCUGCGUCGCUCACGCUGGGAGCUGUAAACCGGAGCUGUUCCUAUUUGGCCAUCUUGGCUCCUCAGGCAACCUCUUUUCUUUAUAAAUUACUCAAUCUUGGGUAUUUCUUCAUAGCAGCAUGAGAAUGGACUAAUACAAAGUCCUUUGGCUGGAGGCAACAAGAAAAAUUCUGACUAUCCUUUCCCAUGCUACCCCUCACCUUUCAAAUCCUUUACAAUAUGGGGAGCAGGAGAAAGGCAUAUCUUACCUGAGAGGACCGUGAGGGGAGCAAGGUCGAGAGUCCACAUGGAACCCCCAAAACUAGGAGAGCUAGAGCAAGGACAUUUGAUACAAAAAGAAAAAUUACUGUCAUGUGAUGUGUGAUCCAUGAUACCAUCAUAGUUUUGUUUUGUUGUGCUCCACCUUCAUACCUUCACCUAUGUUAGAACUUCUGAGAAGCUGAAGCAU
rnacentral:antisense_RNA from 1 species